rnacentral:rRNA from 1 species
GACGAACGCUGGCGGCGUGCUUAACACAUGCAAGUCGAACGGAAAGGCCCUGCUUUUGUGUGGUGCUCGAGUGGCGAACGGGUGAGUAACACGUGAGUAACCUGCCCUUUACUUUGGGAUAACUUCAGGAAACUGGGGCUAAUACCGGAUAGGAGCUCCUGCUGCAUGGUGGGGGUUGGAAAGUUUCGGCGGUUGGGGAUGGACUCGCGGCUUAUCAGCUUGUUGGUGGGGUAGUGGCUUACCAAGGCUUUGACGGAUAGCCGGCCUGAGAGGGUGACCGGCCACAUUGGGACUGAGAUACGGAGCAGACUCCUACGGGAGGCAGCAGUGGGGAAUAUUGCACAAUGGGCGGAAGCCUGAUGCAGCAACGCCGCGUGCGGGAUGACGGCCUUCGGGUUGUAAACCGCUUUCGCCUGUGACGAAGCGUGAGUGACGGUAAUGGGUAAAGAAGCACCGGCUAACUACGUG